CUUUCGUGCCACGCGAUGGUAGCAGUUGGCCUUCUAAUACCGCGAAACACGUUCCGUGUUCUCCUGAGGAGAGUGUACUGCUUAGAGAAGGCAGUCUGAGCCACGCUUUUUCCCCUGUCUAUUGUGUACGUGCGCGUUUAGAGUAAGAAAGAAUCCGAAAACGUUUCCGACCGUGACCCCUUCUUGAUCACGCUUCUCGCGUUUGUUCUCAUUUCACACUGACAUCCGGCACAUCCGCACUAAAUCACAGCAAAUACCAACAACAACACUGUCGCCGACCUGUGCUUCGAAUAUUCUGAUUACGUACAUCAGUCAAAAUUGAUCGAAUGCUGGCGAUCAGGAAAGACCCCGACCCUGAAAGUCCACGUGUAAACGGGAUAUGUUGGAUUAAAGGACAAUUAACGCUCGUUAACCGGCGAUAAUGCGCUAAUGGAGAACAGUCGCGAUACUCGCGUAUUUUUCACAGCAAAAGGAUGUACGAUCGAUAUUUCAAAGAAAGAUAAGCCGAAUGAAAAAACUGCUGAAGAAGGAGAGGAAAUUUAAAACUUUCGACAUUAUCUCUCAAUUAUAUCUAUACGAUGAUUGUAUUCUCUGCACAUUACUCUAGCAUCGCGGCCAAAAAACUCAUUGUGUCAAAUAUUUUACCAUCGUAUAGAUACAUGACAAAUACAUUGACAAAACUUAAUGAAGUUUUCUAAGAUAUAAUAGAAUCAAAAUGACAAUUAAGCAAACAUAUAAAAUACGACGGCAAUUUUAUUAGGAAUUAUAUAAUAAUUCAAGACACCUCAGCUAGACAAGAUGAGAGGACAGACAGAAACGAGAGAUCUCGCAAAUAUAAUACCCUGACGUUUAAUCGUAUGGUAAAAAUUAACAAAAUCGAGAUCAUCUCGGCAAUUAGUCGCACUUCAGGGUGAUUACGGUCCAAAGAUCGUUGUAAUACGACAUCGCACGGUCAAACAUGAAUGACAGCGAGAUCUAUUUAGUGAACUGGGAAGAAGAGGUACGGGCAUUAAAUAACGAUUUUAGCAAGAGCUUUUAUAACGCAAGUUACUCACCAUUUAAUCACACCUAUGAGGAUCUCUGGGAACUUGCUACGGAUCGAAUAGGUCUUGCGAUCGUUCUACUACUCUUCUCCAUAGCCACCGUUUUCGGCAAUUCAUUAGUGAUCCUCGCGGUAUUUCGAGAGAGGCAUCUGCACACAGCUACAAAUUACUUUGUGACUUCACUGGCUUGCGCUGAUUUCCUGGUGGGACUAGUAGUGAUGCCAAUAAGUGCGGUGUACGAAGUACUGGAAAAUCGUUGGCUGUUCACGACGGAUUGGUGUGAUGUUUGGCGCUCACUGGACGUCCUCUUCUCUACUGCGUCAAUCCUAAAUCUGUGCGUUAUUAGUUUAGAUCGUUACUGGGCAAUCACCGAUCCCUUCACGUAUCCAACUCGAAUGAGUAGGAAACGUGCGGCAAUUUUAAUUGCCAUUGUAUGGAUUUGUUCAAGUGCAAUCUCCUUUCCUGCGAUAGCGUGGUGGCGUGCUGUACGUACUGAGCAAGUGCCGGAAGAUAAGUGUCCCUUCACGGAGAAUCUCGGUUACCUAAUAUUCUCGUCAACAAUCAGUUUUUACCUGCCGCUAUUUGUGAUGGUAUUCACGUAUUACAGAAUCUAUCGCGCCGCUGUGAUACAGACGAGGAGUCUAAAACUCGGCACGAAACAAGUGAUGAUGGCCUCGGGCGAGCUCGAGCUCACGCUAAGGAUACACCGAGGUGGCGUAUCCACCACUAAUACCGACGCUAGGCAUCUCUUUCGUACCACAUCGAGCACACCUGAGGACCUUCAGGAUCUUGAGGAGCCUUUAACGGCUCUUCACAACAAUGGUCUUACUAGAGUGCCCUCCACAAGGAUCAACAAUAGACAACACAUAGGCAAAAAUUUUUCUCUCUCACGUAAGCUCGCCAAGUUCGCCAAAGAAAAAAAAGCGGCAAAAACUCUUGGUAUCGUCAUGGGUGUAUUUAUUAUUUGCUGGUUACCGUUCUUCGUUGUGAAUCUAUGGUCAGGAUUCUGCACGAGGUGCAUAUGGCAGGAAGAAAUCGUAUCUGCGGCUGUUACUUGGCUCGGCUGGAUUAACAGUGGAAUGAAUCCCGUGAUAUACGCUUGUUGGAGCAGAGAUUUUCGUAGAGCUUUCGUCAGAAUUUUGUGCUACUGUUGCCCCAGACGAAUGAAACGACGAUAUCAGCCAGCAUUCAGAUGUAAACCAAGUCAAUAUAUUUCCGGAAUGGCAACAGGAGGGCAAGUGAGUAACGUAAGCUAUAGCAGCGUCAGUCAGAGCAGUGACGGAGGCAUAUGCGUGAGCGGAAGUAGUCUCCCCAGUACCGGUAUGUGACGGCACACAUCGGCCCGAACAGGGCCACGUCGAGAACGAGCAAUUCGAUUCCGUGAUGCGUGACUGAUCAAUAGGGAGUGGCGUGGGUCUAUUGUGCGUGCAUUGGUGGAGCCUGAGUGGAGGGAGCAAGCGGGAGAAGCGGCACGCAGCACUUGCAUCACGAGAGGCGAGUGCAAGAUUGACAAGUCGCGUCCAGUUAUUUUUGUAUACGUUCACCCUACUGAAAAAAAUCACGUUACGCUUGCGUUACCACAUUACUCGGGGAAAAUUCAAUACGUAAAAAUGACAAGUCUGAUGUUGUACCCCUCGUUGUGAGUACGAUUUGGGAUCGCUGCCAGAGAUCUCGCGAAAAAGAUCCAAGUUGCAAAGACGUCCUUGUCGGCCAUUCUUCAUUUAUGUAAUGGUUCGUUCGAUCUCUACUAUCCCAUUUAUAUAGUAAACACGGAUUUUUUGUGUAACCUGAUUGUUGACAAUAAUAUGGUGGGAAUUUUCAAAUCUCCACAAACUUACCAUCGAUGUUCUGUGUAUUUAAUUUCUUCAAAAACUGUUUUCAGGUUUGUGUACUCUUCUUUUAUCACUACCGAGUGCGCUACAGGAAUGGAGGGAUAUACAUUAAUAUUGUGCAGCAACACUGUUUUCAAGCUUCUCUUAGAAGAAUCGAUAAAUAUCCAGAUAGCAAGGUGUCGUCCACUGGACAUCAAUAAUUUGUCAUUUGAGGUCGUGAACGUCAUGUUACCAAAUUAAGACGUAAUAGUAACGUCAUUUUUUGACCUAUUAAUUACGUCAGUCAUUUAUUCAUCUUACAACAUAUUUCCGAUGUCAUAUUCUUGACUAAUUAAUAACAUCAGUUAAUUGAUCAUUUUACAACGUAUUAAUAAGAUUUUAUUAGUGACUAAUUACUGACGUAUUAAUUGUAAUUUUCUGUAAUAAUACCCCUGCUCAAAAAGUACGAUAGAAACUGAUAGAAAUUUGAUAGAAAUUUAAUAUGAUUUUAUCUGAAUCUAUCGUUUCUAUCCGGCACUAGAUUUCCUGCCAGAAAAGUUACAAAAUUCUAUCGUUCCUUAUCGUAUCUGAAUUAAACGAUUAAAAUUUUAUUUGAAUACGACUACUUUUCUAUAUGAUCUACUUAGUACUGAAUAUAAAAUUUACGAUUCAAAGUCUAUAAGACUCUAUAUGAAUUAAUCUGAAAUUGUUCCUAUACGUUUCUAUCAGAUAAAUUACAAUUUCGGCGGACAUAAAGUUCUAUCGUUUUUUUAUCGUAUCUGAAUUAAACGAUUAAAACUUUAUAUGAUUAUCUUAAUACGACUACUUUUGUUCACGACCGUGGCGUUUGCGGGAGCAAGGAUGGCGUAAAGUGGCGGGAAAAUAAAAGAAACUCAAGGACGUUAACACUUCACGUAUAAUUAAAAUAUAAAAUUAUAAUAAAGCUCAACUCAAUUGGAGACGCGCUCGCUGCACAAUUCGCCCGAGCGAGAGUGGGCUUAGCGCCGGAAUUUUCGCGGGCACGUGGAUCUCGCGCGAGCACGCGGGAUAUGAGAAAAAUGCAAGCGUACGAACUCGGAGAGCGACAGCGAUCCGAUCGCGAUACUGACUCGAUUUCUGGCUACAGGACGCGAAAAACACUCGCAAAACGCCCCGAUAAAGCGGAGGCCCCCCUUUCCCGUGGAUCGCUAUCGCCCCUCCGAUCGUGAAAGUGGCAAAGAAAUGCCCAUAUAAGGUAAUGUUAUUGCCAUAGGAUUAGCGCCGUCGGUUUUCGCGCCGCAAUCUUGUUUUGCGCGAAACAAAGCAAAGGCCUUUCGCUCGACGGAGAGAAUCCGGUACGCUCGACCCUCAACAACUUUUCUAUAUGAUCAUCUACUUAUCGUACUGAAUAUGUAAUUUACGAUUCAAGUUCUAUAAGACUCUAUAUGAAUUAAUCUGAAAUUGUUCCUAUACGUUUCUAUCAGAUAUAUUACAAUUUCGGCGGACAUAAAGUUCUAUCGUUCUUUAUCAUGUCUGAAUUAAACGAUUAAAACUUGUAACGUGAUAGCCGCAGGCUGCUGUCCGUCACAAGGGUCUUAGUGGCCCUUACGCGUUAACAUCACGCGUCCUCCCGCUCAGGAACGGAUGCAAAAGCGUAUUAUCUCGUGUUUUUGUGUCUGUGAAGUCCCAUAUGUUGUCCGUUCAUUGAUCGUUAAGAUUUUUGCGAGCGCUGCCCUGCAAAUGCGGCACAGCGAUCUAUCUUGUAAUUUUUGAACGUUUCGUCUCGUCGGAGAAUCUUUCCGGAGGUCGCAGAGUAAGCGGACAUCGAGAGAGUAACGGAGACCCUUUUUGAGCGGGGGUCCGCAGGUAAUACCGCCUUUAUCUUGCCUACAAUUUCCAUCUUGUGAGAAUUUCGAUACUGCCGCCGAAUCACGCUUUCAGGAUCCAGCAAAGGCGCGCGAGGCCGGCAUCCCGACGGGGCGACUGCGAUCCCGCAUAAAUUCUGGCGGAGAUAGCAACAGCUUAUAAUCCGUGAACGCCCUCGUCAAGGAGGAGGUAACGCUCUGGUAGCGGAGGAUGCGCCCGGCAAGGAGAGAAAAAUCUGCCGCAGAAGAAAGCGCCAAAAUUCUCGUGCACGGGGCCCAACAGUAUCGACCACCGCGCUUGGAUCGAUCAGCCAGCGACGGCGUGCACGCCGUGCGUUCCGCGAAAAUCGAUUUCGGAAAACCGCAGCCAAUAAAGGCCCGGCGUAUCGGAGGCAAGGUGGGCACGACCGACCGUGGCGCGCGACGAUUUUGGCGGAUUGACGAACAUGUCUGCAAUUGCCGGGAGAUUAUUAACAACGCGUUUAUUUUUGAAGGCUUUCUCGCGCAAUGUCAGCGGAACGAAGAUUUUUAUAAAUCCAUUUUUUGGUCCGACGAAUCAACGUUCACACCAAACGGCGUUUUUAAUUCCCGCAAUAAUGUAUAUUGGGCAGAAGAAAAUCCUCACGUCGUUCGUCAAGGCGUGUUUCAAUAUAGAUGGUCCACAAAUGUAUGGGCAGGAAUGAUCGCGAACCAAGUAAUCGGUCCAGUGUUUCUCCCGCUGCGUCUAAAUGGCGAAAAUUAUUUGGAUUUUUUGGAAAAUCAAUUACCUGUGCUUCUUGAAGAUAUACUGCUACAUAUACGAGCACAGAUGAUUUUCCAACACGACGGAGCUCCUCCGCAUUUUCGCCGAACAGUUCGCGAUUUUUUGAACGCACGUUACCCCGAUAAAUGGAUGGGUUGAGGUGGUCAAAUCAUCUGGCCAUCACGAUCGCCGGAUCUAAACGUACUAGACUUUUUUCUAUGGGGUUACGUAAAAAGUUUAGUCGAAUAUACGCGUAAUGGCGCAGAACGAGAAAUGCGUCAAGAUAUAAUUGACGCUUUCAAUACCAGAGAUGGGCCAUAGAGAAUGGGAUUACCAAAUUAAAAAUGCUCAAAACAAUGAAUAAUUAAAUGUGAUUUAAUUACACAUUAUUUUGAACAUUUGUAAUUAAACACCAUUGAAUUACUAAUUUGUUUGAGCAUUUGUAAUGAAUGUCCAAAGUAAUUAAAUUAUACUAUCGUAAUGUAAUUACAUUUGUGUAAUUUAAUUAUACAUUUGUGUAAUUUAAUUACAUUUGUGUAAUUUAAUUACAUUUGUGUAAUUUAAUUACAUUUUAAUUUUUAUUCGAAUUGUGUUAAUGACAAAGAGAACAUGAGAGUGUACAUACUGUACAUAUUGCAAGAAUAAUAUAUUGUGUAUCUAGCGGAGAAAGCGACAUUUUUUAGACGAGCGUGAAGUUUGCCUUCUGCUUGGGUGGCAAUCAUACGAGUCUGAAAAAAAAGCUUUCUCCCAUGCACAAGAUAUUUUUCAUAAGUGAGUACUUUCUACCCGCUACAUCAACGUAGCAUGAAAGGUCAUUUUCGCCCUGCUCUACUGGCAUCGGAAGUAGGGCUUUCCGUGGAGGUGUGAAAAACUUAUUUUGUUCGCGUCGAACAAAGGUCAAUUUUUGGCUUGUGUGUCUUUUAAGGUCGUUCGCGAGACGCGAGGCGCCCUCGUGUACAGUAUACGACUUAUAGUAAUUGACAUGUAUGUAGAAUGGAUUUAGCGUUGCGAAAUACAAACGCGCGCUUGCUGUUAUAUAAAAAGAGAGAUGCUACACGUUCUAUGAGGCGAUUGCGGCGUUCAAUGUUUUUUUCGGAGAAUGUUUAUCGCGCGGACGCCGUCGGUUCUCACGACUAUUACAAUUGACGCAUAAUUGUAAAAA